rnacentral:rRNA from 1 species
GACGAACGCUGGCGGCGUGCCUAAUACAUGCAAGUUGAGCGCUGAAGGUUGGUACUUGUACCCACUGGAUGAGCAGCGAACGGGUGAGUAACGCGUGGGGAAUCUGCCUUUGAGCGGGGGACAACAUUUGGAAACGAAUGCUAAUACCGCAUAAAACCUUUAAACACAAGUUUUAAGUUUGAAAGAUGCAAUUGCAUCACUCAAAGAUGAUCCCGCGUUGUAUUAGCUAGUUGGUGAGGUAAAGGCUCACCAAGGCGAUGAUACAUAGGCGACCUGAGAGGGUGAUCGGCCACAUUGGGACUGAGACACGGCCCAAACUCCUACGGGAGGCAGCAGUAGGGAAUCUUCGGCAAUGGACGAAAGUCUGACCGAGCAACGCCGCGUGAGUGAAGAAGGUUUUCGGAUCGUAAAACUCUGUUGGUAGAGAAGAACGUUGGUGAGAGUGGAAAGCUCAUCAAGUGACGGUAACUACCCAGAAAGGGACGGCUAACUACGUG